AACGAACGCUGGCGGCAGGCCUAACACAUGCCAGUCGAGCGAGGACUUCGGUUCUAGCGGCGGACGGGUGAGUAACGCGUGGGAAUGUGCCCUUCUCUACGGAAUAGCCCUGGGAAACUGGGAGUAAUACCGUAUACGCCCUAUUGGGGAAAGAUUUAUCGGAGAAGGAUCAGCCCGCGUUGGAUUAGGUAGUUGGUGGGGUAAUGGCCUACCAAGCCGACGAUCCAUAGCUGGUUUGAGAGGAUGAUCAGCCACACUGGGACUGAGACACGGCCCAGACUCCUACGGGAGGCAGCAGUGGGGAAUCUUAGACAAUGGGGGCAACCCUGAUCUAGCCAUGCCGCGUGAGUGAUGAAGGCCUUAGGGUUGUAAUGCUCUUUCAGCUGGGAAGAUAAUGACGGUACCAGCAGAAGAAGCCCCGGCUAACUCCGUG
rnacentral:rRNA from 1 species